AGGUACCACUGUAUGUGUGUGUGUGUGUGUGUGUGUAUAUAUAUACACACACACACACACACACACACGGCUGGCAACUAU
rnacentral:miRNA from 1 species